GAGGUGAAGAUAUCUACAGUGAACUCCAAGCAGGUUCAUGGAGGUUCUUUCAUUCAGAAACCUAUGAUCCAAAUUAUUUUGGGGAAGGCUCAGAAUUUGGACAAGAUCACAACUGCUGCUGAUGGUGCCACAGCACCUAAUGUGGAAUCUGCUAGGCAGGCCUGACCCAGCAGUUGCUUAAGAAUUCCCUUUCUUUCUUUUCCAGUUUAUAUAAGUGUUUCAACAUAUAGGAGAAAAUAAUUUUGUAAUAGAUGAACCCUACACUUAUGCUUUUAUACUUCUAUUCAUCAAUCAAAAAGUCAAAAUUUCUCAGCA